rnacentral:snRNA from 1 species
CGAACCGGGAAGAGCCCAGCU